rnacentral:rRNA from 1 species
CCUACGGGAGGCAGCAGUGGGGGAUAUUGGACAAUGGGGGAAACCCUGAUCCAGCGACGCCGCGUGAGUGAAGAAGUACUUCGGUAUGUAAAGCUCUGUCAGCAGGGAAGAAAGAAAUGACGGUACCUGAACAAGAAGCCUCGGCUAACUACGUGCCAGCAGCCGCGGUAAUACGUAGGGGGCAAGCGUUAUCCGGAGUUACUGGGUGUAAAGGGAGCGUAGACGGUGAUGCAAGUCAGGAGUGAAAGGCGGGGGCUCAACCCCAAGACUGCUCUGGAUACUGGGUGACUUGAGUGCAGGAGAGGUAAGCGGAAUUCGUGGUGUAGCGGUGAAAUGCGUAGAUAUUAGGAAGAACGCCAGUGGCGAAGGCGGCUUACUGGACUGUAACUGACGUUGAUGCUCGAAAGCGUGGGGAGCAAACAGGAUUAGAUACCCCUGUAGUC